rnacentral:rRNA from 1 species
GUCUAUGGCCAUACCACCCUGAACGCGCUCGAUCUCGUCUGAUCUCGGAAGCUAAGCAGGGUCGGGCCUGGUUAGUACUUGGAUGGGAGAAAAUAGAUUAAAAGGUAGGCGAAGCUG